GACAAGAAGAGUUGCUGGAAAGUUGAUUGAGCCAAUAAUAAUGUCUUAUUUUUUAUGGUUUUAAUUCAAAAUUCGUAUGAUUUUUAUUGGAAUCUGCACAGAAUUAGUCCCACUAAAAUGGGUCAUUCUUGUUUUUUAGUGUCUGCUUGGCAAUGUGAGGCUAGACUCUGAUCAUACUUUAUCACAAUAGAUGAGGAGCCAAAUUUUCUGCAUUUUUCUUUUCAAAAUUAAUUUUUUUUUCCUGGUUUUUUUAUUGGCUUCCAUUUAUGAUUUAGCCACAGGCAAAGCAACUUCCUUUAUUUUCUUUAUAGCAGAAAAAGGAGGAUUUCCUCUCUCUCUCUCUCUCUCUCUCUCUCUCUCUCUCCCUCCUCUGUGGCUUAUCUGCAUUGUCAGUAUUUUUUUUUCUUUUUUAAUUUUGAAAGGAGGCAAUUACUGUCGGUUUCAUGUACGCUAUCCUUAAUCUG
rnacentral:lncRNA from 1 species